rnacentral:rRNA from 1 species
UACCAGCUCUCCGAGUUGUAGGGACGAUUAUUGGGCUUAAAGCGUCCGUAGCUGGCCUAGCAAGUCUCCUGUUAAAUUCAGCGACCUAAUCGUUGAGCCGCGGGAGAUACUACUAGGCUAGGAGGCGGGAGAGGUCGACGGUACUUUCGGGGUAGGGGUGAAAUCCUAUAAUCCCGGGAGGACCACCAGUGGCGAAGGCUGUCGACUAGAACGCGCUCGACGGUGAGGGACGAAAGCUGGGGUAGCGAACCGGAUUAGAUACCCGGGUAGUCCCAGCUGUAAACUAUGCGGGCUAGGUGUUGGGGUGGCUACGGGCCACUUCAGUGCCGCAGGAAAGCCAUUAAGCCCGCCGCCUGGGGAGUACGGCCGCAAGGCUGAGACUUAAAGGAAUUGGCGGGGGAGCACCACAAGGCGUGAAGCUUGCGGUUC